CAAGAAAAGGUCCUAACAUUAGCGCUUUAUAUGCAUAUAUUAUAAACCAUACAGCGCUAUUGAGAUAUAAAAAAAAACAAAUAAGACAAGAAGAACUCAGUAACGUUCUCAAAGACGUUUAAAACUCGAGUCAUAAAGUCCCUUCUGCUUUGGUCCUUCAAAAUUAAGACAAGCUAUCUACUCGUUAUUUUUAGUUCUAACUUAUCACAUAAAUAUAUACAUUUAAAAUUAUUGAAAUAAUAUUCUUGACUUGUUAGAUAUAUAACGUACAUUAAAUCAUCAUUACGGGACCAGCUCGCCAAAAGUUUGCUAUACUUAGUCUAACAUAAAUAUUUCACUUUUCAAAAUUUACGUUUCUUUCCUGAAGCCACGAGUGCAGAGUGUCCAAAGAUACAUAAACACCGUGCUUUAAAAGUAUUUCGAGAAGGUCGUUUGAGGAAAUACGUAGGGCAUUUGAAUUUUUCCAUAAAUAAUGAUACAACUUUUUUCCACCAGGGCUUCGAAAGAACGUUGAAAUAUUAGAAGAACACAUUACUUGAGGAACCAGGAGAUUAUCAGCAACUUUCUUUUCAUCGUGUUCGCAAUUAACUAUCGGAUCGGACUCAAGGGUGGUAAAAGACUCUUCUCCAGAAUCAGAGGUUGGAAAUACCGACAUACCAAAACAAGAACCAGCUUGUUCAAUAUCAUAGCGAUUAUCAUCAUCGAUACGGGUGCAUACUCCUCUCAACAUGUUUAACUCCCCACUUAUCGAAGGUACUUGUUGGGACAAUAAGUCACCCUCAUUUCCAAUUAGGUAAUAGACAUUAGUUCUAAAUGAUGAUAUCCAUAAGUAAGGCGUAAUUUGACAACCGAUAUUGCUGUGGUGGAACCCAGGUUCGACAUUCAUGAGUUCAUCAGACAGAGGAAACUUUGGCUUAUGCCUUUUAGCAAUAGAAAUAGCAAUUUCUGGAUGAACAACUUUGGACUUAAAUUGUCUCUUACUAACACGAACUCUAGAAUCUUCUGAAACAGAAGCCGUCAUAAGUAACGGCUUUUUCUUGGGAAUGGUAUGGCCAAAGCUUAAUGGGGUCAAGCUUUCUGAAUGCAAUUGAUCAACGGAAUUAUUUUUUUCUUCAAAAUAUUUGGUAACUCUUGAUGUAAUACUGUUAUAAGAAACCUUCGAUUUAGAAGAACGAAUGUGUGGUUUCUCAACUUUAGUAAAGUCAUGAAUAUUAGCAUUAUCCUUUUUCAGGAAAGAAUGCAGCGUUUUCUGUCGCGGUGCUGCAUGGACUUUCAUCUGGUAUCGAAACCGCUGAACCUUCUCUGCAAAACUUUGCGCAGCAUCAUUUUCUUCAACAUUAACGUCGUUUAAAUUUAAAGAGGGUGCUGUUUCACCUUUAGAUUCAAUCAUUUUUCUUAACUUAGAUUUUAAACAACGCAGCACACUUCGUCGAUGGAUUUAUAAGCAUCCAAAGACAUUUGCUUCUUGUCUUACAAAAAAUAGAAAAAGAAAAUAUAUUUUAAUCACAAGAGUCAAGGUUAACAAAG